CGUGAGAUGUUGGGUUAAGUCCCGCAACGAGCGCAACCCUUAUUGUUAGUUGCCAUCAUUCAGUUGGGCACUUUAGCAAGACUGCCGGUGACAAACCGGAGGAAGGUGGGGAUGACGUCAAAUCAUCAUGCCCCUUAUGACCUGGGGUACACACGCGCUCCAAUGGGAAGUACAACGAGUUCCGAAGUCGCGCGGCUAACCUAAUCUCUUAAAGCUUCUCUCAGUUCGGAUUGCAGGCUGCAACUUGCCUGCAUGAAGCCGGAAUCGCUAGUAAUCGCGGAUCAGCACGCCGCGGUGAAUACGUUCCCGGGCCUUGUACACACCGCCCGUCACACCACGAGAGUUUGUAACACCCGAAGUCGGUGAGGUAACCUUUUUGGAGCCAGCCGCCUAAGGUGGGAUAGAUGAUUGGGGUGAAGUCGUAACAAGAGCCCUAAGGG
rnacentral:rRNA from 1 species